rnacentral:piRNA from 1 species
UGCCCUCCCAGGAAGGAGCAGACCCAUUGUG